CACGGAGCUUGCUCUGGUGGCGAGUGGCGAACGGGUGAGUAAUAUAUCGGAACGUACCCUAGAGUGGGGGAUAACGUAGCGAAAGUUACGCUAAUACCGCAUACGAUCUAAGGAUGAAAGUGGGGGAUCGCAAGACCUCAUGCUCGUGGAGCGGCCGAUAUCUGAUUAGCUAGUUGGUAGGGUAAAAGCCUACCAAGGCAUCGAUCAGUAGCUGGUCUGAGAGGACGACCAGCCACACUGGAACUGAGACACGGUCCAGACUCCUACGGGAGGCAGCAGUGGGGAAUUUUGGACAAUGGGCGAAAGCCUGAUCCAGCAAUGCCGCGUGAGUGAAGAAGGCCUUCGGGUUGUAAAGCUCUUUUGUCAGGGAAGAAACGGUGAGAGCUAAUAUCUCUUGCUAAUGACGGUACCUGAAGAAUAAGCACCGGCUAACUACGUGCCAGCAGCCGCGGUAAUACGUAGGGUGCAAGCGUUAAUCGGAAUUACUGGGCGUAAAGCGUGCGCAGGCGGUUUUGUAAGUCUGAUGUGAAAUCCCCGGGCUCAACCUGGGAAUUGCAUUGGAGACUGCAAGGCUAGAAUCUGGCAGAGGGGGGUAGAAUUCCACGUGUAGCAGUGAAAUGCGUAGAUAUGUGGAGGAACACCGAUGGCGAAGGCAGCCCCCUGGGUCAAGAUUGACGCUCAUGCACGAAAGCGUGGGGAGCAAACAGGAUUAGAUACCCUGGUAGUCCACGCCCUAAACGAUGUCUACUAGUUGUCGGGUCUUAAUUGACUUGGUAACGCAGCUAACGCGUGAAGUAGACCGCCUGGGGAGUACGGUCGCAAGAUUAAAACUCAAAGGAAUUGACGGGGACCCGCACAAGCGGUGGAUGAUGUGGAUUAAUUCGAUGCAACGCGAAAAACCUUACCUACCCUUGACAUGGCUGGAAUCCUCGAGAGAUUGGGGAGUGCUCGAAAGAGAACCAGUACACAGGUGCUGCAUGGCUGUCGUCAGCUCGUGUCGUGAGAUGUUGGGUUAAGUCCCGCAACGAGCGCAACCCUUGUCAUUAGUUGCUACGAAAGGGCACUCUAAUGAGACUGCCGGUGACAAACCGGAGGAAGGUGGGGAUGACGUCAAGUCCUCAUGGCCCUUAUGGGUAGGGCUUCACACGUCAUACAAUGGUACAUACAGAGCGCCGCCAACCCGCGAGGGGGAGCUAAUCGCAGAAAGUGUAUCGUAGUCCGGAUUGUAGUCUGCAACUCGACUGCAUGAAGUUGGAAUCGCUAGUAAUCGCGGAUCAGCAUGUCGCGGUGAAUACGUUCCCGGGUCUUGUACACACCGCCCGUCACACCAUGGGAGCGGGUUUUACCAGAAGUAGGUAG
rnacentral:rRNA from 1 species